AUUGAACGCUGGCGGAAUGCUUUACACAUGCAAGUCGAACGGUAGAGGGGGCAACCCCUCGAGAGUGGCGAACGGGUGAGUAAUAUAUCGGAACGUGCCCAGUCGUGGGGGAUAACGUAGCGAAAGUUACGCUAAUACCGCAUACGAUCUAAGGAUGAAAGCGGGGGAUCGCAAGACCUCGCCCGAUUGGAGCGGCCGAUAUCAGAUUAGGUAGUUGGUGGGGUAAAGGCUCACAAAGCCAACGAUCUGUAGCUGGUCUGAGAGGACGACCAGCCACACUGGAACUGAGACACGGUCCAGACUCCUACGGGAGGCAGCAGUGGGGAAUUUUGGACAAUGGACGCAAGUCUGAUCCAGCCAUUCCGCGUGCAGGAUGAAGGCCCUCGGGUUGUAAACUGCUUUUGUACGGAACGAAAAGGUCUCUCUUAAUACGGGGGACUCAUGACGGUACCGUAAGAAUAAGCACCGGCUAACUACGUGCCAGCCGCCGCAGUAA
rnacentral:rRNA from 1 species